rnacentral:rRNA from 1 species
AUUGAACGCUGGCGGCAGGCUUAACACAUGCAAGUCGAGCGGGGGAAGGUAGCUUGCUACCGGACCUAGCGGCGGACGGGUGAGUAAUGCUUAGGAAUCUGCCUAUUAGUGGGGGACAACAUCUCGAAAGGGAUGCUAAUACCGCAUACGUCCUACGGGAGAAAGCAGGGGAUCUUCGGACCUUGCGCUAAUAGAUGAGCCUAAGUCGGAUUAGCUAGUUGGUGGGGUAAAGGCCUACCAAGGCGACGAUCUGUAGCGGGUCUGAGAGGAUGAUCCGCAACGCUGGGACUGAGGCACGUCCCAGACUCCGACGGGAGGCAGCAGUGGGGAAUAUUGGACAAUGUGGGGAACCCUGAUCCAGCCAUGCCGCGUGUGUGAAGAAGGCCUUAUGGUUGUAAAGCACUUUAAGCGAGGAGGAGGCUACUUUAGUUAAUACCUAGAGAUAGUGGACGUUACUCGCAGAAUAAGCACCGGCUAACUCUGUGCCAGCCGCCGCCGUAA